GGAGAACUUACAAUCUUACAUCAUAUCAUCAUAAAUGAAUUAUUUUGUGGAUCUUGGAAGUAUUUUUUUAUUUUUAUUUUUAAUAUGCAUCUGAUGUAGAUGAACAAGUGAACAACUCAGUGAGCCUUAGGAUUCAGACCUGAUUGUGUAUUAAUUGACUCAAAAUUCAUGGGUAUUUGAUAAGUGCAGAUUGUUUGGUCUUAACAUAAUGUGAAUAAAACAAUCUGGUUCAUUUCUGAAAUUAGAUUUGGUUUUGCAUAGUCC
rnacentral:misc_RNA from 1 species